rnacentral:rRNA from 1 species
UUAAACCCAAAGAAUUUGGCGGUACCUUAUUCUAUUUAGAGGAACCUGUCCCAUGAUUGAUAGUUCACGAUUAAUUUUACUUAAUCUAUUUGUUUGUAUAUCUCCGUUAUCAGAAAAUCUUUUUAGAGUUUUAAUUUUCAGGAUUUUUUAUUAUGAAGUAUUUCAGGUCAAGGUGCAGCUUAUGAUUAAAAGGAGGUGGGUUACAAUAAAUUUUUGUUUAUUACGGAAUAUUUUUUGUAAUAUUAAUAUAAAGGUGGAUUUAAUAGUAAAUUGAUUUAUUUAAUUUGAUUGAUAUUAGCUCUGAGGUGUGUACACAUC